rnacentral:rRNA from 1 species
GGUUAAGCGACUAAGCGUACACGGUGGAUGCCCUGGCAGUCAGAGGCGAUGAAGGACGUGCUAAUCUGCGAAAAGCGUCGGUAAGGUGAUAUGAACCGUUAUAACCGGCGAUGUCCGAAUGGGGAAACCCAGUGCAAUUCGUUGCACUAUCGUUAACUGAAUACAUAGGUUAACGAGGCGAACCGGGGGAACUGAAACAUCUAAGUACCCCGAGGAAAAGAAAUCAACCGAGAUUCCCCCAGUAGCGGCGAGCGAACGGGGAGCAGCCCAGAGUCUGAAUCAGCUUGUGUGUUAGUGGAACGGUCUGGAAAGUCCGACGGUACAGGGUGAUAGUCCCGUACACCAAAAUGCACAGGCUGUGAACUCGAAGAGUAGGGCGGGACACGUGGUAUCCUGUCUGAAUAUGGGGGGACCAUCCUCCAAGGCUAAAUACUCCUGACUGACCGAUAGUGAACCAGUACCGUGAGGGAAAGGCGAAAAGAACCCCGGCGAGGGGAGUGAAAAAGAACCUGAAACCGUGUACGUACAAGCAGUGGGAGCACCUUCGGGUGUGACUGCGUACCUUUUGUAUAAUGGGUCAGCGACUUAUAUUCUGUAGCAAGGUUAACCGUAUAGGGGAGCCGCAGGGAAACCGAGUCUUAACUGGGCGUUAAGUUGCAGGGUAUAGACCCGAAACCCGGUGAUCUAGCCAUGGGCAGGUUGAAGGUUGGGUAACACUAACUGGAGGACCGAACCGACUAAUGUUGAAAAAUUAGCGGAUGACUUGUGGCUGGGGGUGAAAGGCCAAUCAAACCGGGAGAUAGCUGGUUCUCCCCGAAAGCUAUUUAGGUAGCGCCUCGUGAAUUCAUCUUCGGGGGUAGAGCACUGUUUCGGCUAGGGGGUCAUCCCGACUUACCAACCCGAUGCAAACUACGAAUACCGAAGAAUGUUAUCACGGGAGACACACGGCGGGUGCUAACGUCCGUCGUGAAGAGGGAAACAACCCAGACCGCCAGCUAAGGUCCCAAAGUCAUGGUUAAGUGGGAAACGAUGUGGGAAGGCACAGACAGCCAGGAUGUUGGCUUAGAAGCAGCCAUCAUUUAAAGAAAGCGUAAUAGCUCACUGGUCGAGUCGGCCUGCGCGGAAGAUGUAACGGGGCUAAACCAUGCACCGAAGCUGCGGCAGCGACACUAUGUGUUGUUGGGUAGGGGAGCGUUCUGUAAGCCUGCGAAGGUGUGCUGUGAGGCAUGCUGGAGGUAUCAGAAGUGCGAAUGCUGACAUAAGUAACGAUAAAGCGGGUGAAAAGCCCGCUCGCCGGAAGACCAAGGGUUCCUGUCCAACGUUAAUCGGGGCAGGGUGAGUCGACCCCUAAGGCGAGGCCGAAAGGCGUAGUCGAUGGGAAACAGGUUAAUAUUCCUGUACUUGGUGUUACUGCGAAGGGGGGACGGAGAAGGCUAUGUUAGCCGGGCGACGGUUGUCCCGGUUUAAGCAUGUAGGCUGGUUGUCCAGGCAAAUCCGGAUAAUCAAGGCUGAGGUGUGAUGACGAGGCACUACGGUGCUGAAGUAACAAAUGCCCUGCUUCCAGGAAAAGCCUCUAAGCAUCAGGUAACAUCAAAUCGUACCCCAAACCGACACAGGUGGUCAGGUAGAGAAUACCAAGGCGCUUGAGAGAACUCGGGUGAAGGAACUAGGCAAAAUGGUGCCGUAACUUCGGGAGAAGGCACGCUGGUGUGUAGGUGAAGCCCCUGCGGGUGGAGCUGAGACCAGUCGAAGAUACCAGCUGGCUGCAACUGUUUAUUAAAAACACAGCACUGUGCAAACACGAAAGUGGACGUAUACGGUGUGACGCCUGCCCGGUGCCGGAAGGUUAAUUGAUGGGGUUAUCCGUAAGGAGAAGCUCUUGAUCGAAGCCCCGGUAAACGGCGGCCGUAACUAUAACGGUCCUAAGGUAGCGAAAUUCCUUGUCGGGUAAGUUCCGACCUGCACGAAUGGCGUAAUGAUGGCCAGGCUGUCUCCACCCGAGACUCAGUGAAAUUGAACUCGCUGUGAAGAUGCAGUGUACCCGCGGCAAGACGGAAAGACCCCGUGAACCUUUACUAUAGCUUGACACUGAACAUUGAGCCUUGAUGUGUAGGAUAGGUGGGAGGCUUUGAAGCGUGGACGCCAGUCUGCGUGGAGCCAACCUUGAAAUACCACCCUUUAAUGUUUGAUGUUCUAACGUUGGCCCCUGACCGGGGUUGCGGACAGUGUCUGGUGGGUAGUUUGACUGGGGCGGUCUCCUCCCAAAGCGUAACGGAGGAGCACGAAGGUUAGCUAAUCCUGGUCGGACAUCAGGAGGUUAGUGCAAUGGCAUAAGCUAGCUUGACUGCGAGCGUGACGGCGCGAGCAGGUGCGAAAGCAGGUCAUAGUGAUCCGGUGGUUCUGAAUGGAAGGGCCAUCGCUCAACGGAUAAAAGGUACUCCGGGGAUAACAGGCUGAUACCGCCCAAGAGUUCAUAUCGACGGCGGUGUUUGGCACCUCGAUGUCGGCUCAUCACAUCCUGGGGCUGAAGUAGGUCCCAAGGGUAUGGCUGUUCGCCAUUUAAAGUGGUACGCGAGCUGGGUUUAGAACGUCGUGAGACAGUUCGGUCCCUAUCUGCCGUGGGCGCUGGAGAAUUGAGGGGGGCUGCUCCUAGUACGAGAGGACCGGAGUGGACGCAUCACUGGUGUUCGGGUUGUCAUGCCAAUGGCACUGCCCGGUAGCUAAAUGCGGAAGAGAUAAGUGCUGAAAGCAUCUAAGCACGAAACUUGCCCCGAGAUGAGUUCUCCCUGAGACUUUAAGUCUCCUGAAGGAACGUUGAAGACGACGACGUUGAUAGGCCGGGUGUGUAAGCGCAGCGAUGCGUUGAGCUAACCGGUACUAAUGAACCGUGAGGCUUAACCUU